AUGUAUCUUCCAGGGUUGGCUUCACACUGGCUCUGAGAAGCUCGAGCGCGGCCGAGCAGGAGAGAGUGGCAGUGAAUGUGUCUGCAGCAGCGAUUAGCAUUAAAAAACACAAACUACGGCUGAAGGAGAGAACACCAAACCCCGCUGCGGUUCCACACGACCUCGGAGGGACCCCUGGACUAUGAUACAUUCCACACAGAGGCUGGUGUUUGGACGAGAAGAGGGUAACUGAACAUCUGUAGAGCAUAAUGAGGGCAUCCGCUAUUCUUUACGGUGGUUUCUCCUCCGAGGUUUAGUGAGACGCAGAGUGACACUAUUUAUAAAUGCGUCGCUUUUAGACCUCCUCUGAAGGAAGAGACACACCGAGGGGACACAGCCUGAAGAUAUUUGGUUAAUCCCCUCCUCCUGUGGCCCCUGGGGAACAGUGAAGUCAUUUGAGAAGAAGACUUAAUCAUCUCCAUAGUUUUGCAGUUUUACAGAAGAGAAAAGAAGACAAAUAACAACUCGAGGUCGCCCCAGACUCUCUCUCUGGUUUUCCCUUUUUUCUUUUUCUUCUUUUUUAAUCUUACAUGGUUUUCUCUUCCUGAGCAUUCAUCGGCAAACCCUCCCGUGGGCAUUCUCCCCGUGAAAGGAUGCCGGAUCAAAUAUCUGUAUCCGAGUUUAUCUCGGAAACAACAGAGGAUUACAAUUCUCCGACAACAUCCAGCUUCACCACCCGACUGCAGAGCUGCAGGAACUCAGUGAAUGUGCUGGAGGAGGCGUUGGACCAGGAUCGAACCUCUUUACAGAAGGUGAAGAAAUCAGUGAAGGCCAUCUACAAUUCAGGACAAGACCACGUCCAGAAUGAAGAGAACUACGCUCAGGCUCUGGACAAAUUCGGCGGCAACUUCAUCAGCCGCGACAACCCUGACCUGGGGACGGCCUUCGUCAAGUUUUCCUCCCUCACUAAGGAGCUGUCUGCGCUCCUGAAGAACCUGCUCCAGAGCCUCAGCCACAAUGUGAUCUUCACUCUGGACUCGCUGCUGAAGGGCGAUCUGAAAGGCGUGAAAGGGGACAUAAAGAAGCCGUUUGACAAAGCAUGGAAAGACUAUGAGGCCAAGUUUACAAAGAUAGAGAAGGAGAAGCGAGAGCACGCCAAGCAGCACGGGAUGAUCCGUACUGAGAUCACCGGGGCCGAGAUCGCAGAGGAGAUGGAAAAAGAAAGGCGUCUCUUCCAGCUCCAGAUGUGCGAGUACCUGAUCAAAGUAAAUGAGAUCAAGACCAAGAAGGGAGUGGACCUCCUCCAGAACCUGAUUAAGUAUUACCACGCACAGUGCAAUUUCUUCCAGGAUGGCUUGAAGACAGCGGAUAAGCUGAAGCAGUACAUCGAGAAGCUGGCAGCUGACCUCUACAAUAUCAAACAAACUCAGGAUGAAGAGAAGAAGCAGCUGACCGCCCUGCGGGAUCUGAUCAAGUCCUCCCUCCAGCUGGACCAGAAGGAGGACUCGCAGAGUAAGCAGGGAGGAUACAGCAUGCACCAGCUGCAGGGAAACAAGGAGUUUGGCAGCGAGAAGAAAGGCUACCUAAUGAAGAAGAGUGACGGGCUGAGGAAGGUGUGGCAGAGGAGGCAGUGCUCAGUGAAGGGGGGCAUACUCACCAUCUCUCAUGCUACGUCCAACAGGCAGCCGGUCAAACUCAACCUGCUCACCUGCCAGGUCAAACCAAGCGGAGAGGACAGGAAGUGCUUUGAUCUAAUUUCUCAUAACCGGACAUAUCAUUUCCAGGCCGAAGAUGAACAAGAGUUUGUAAUCUGGAUCUCGGUGCUGACCAACAGUAAGGAGGAGGCAUUGAACAUGGCGUUUCGAGGCGAGCAGAGCAGCGGCGGUGAGGACGGUUUAGAGGACCUGACUAAAGCCAUCAUAGAAGACGUGCUGCGCAUGCCGGGGAACGAGUUGUGCUGUGACUGCGGAGCUUCAGAUCCUAAAUGGCUUUCCACCAACCUGGGGAUCCUGACCUGCAUCGAGUGCUCCGGGAUCCACCGAGAGAUGGGCGUCCACAUCUCCCGCAUCCAGUCCAUGGAGCUUGACAAGCUGGGAACAUCAGAACUCUUGCUGGCCAAGAACGUAGGGAACAGUAGUUUCAAUGAGAUCAUGGAGGGAAACCUCACGUCCCCUUCACCAAAGCCCACUCCAUCCAGUGACAUGACGGUGAGGAAGGAGUUCAUCAACGCUAAAUAUGUGGAUCACAAAUUUGCGAGGAAGACAUGCACGUCUGCGGCAGCUAAGAUGAUCGAGCUGUUUGAGGCCGUUCAGUCCAGGGAUCUGCUCUCCCUCAUUCAGGUCUACGCCGAGGGGGUGGAGCUUAUGGAGCCGCUCCCGGAGGCGGGGCAGGAGACUGGAGAGACCGCACUGCACUACUCUGUACGGACUGCUGACCAGACCUCCCUGCACCUGGUGGACUUCCUUGUGCAGAACAGCGGUAACCUGGAUAAGCAGACGGAGUGGGGGAACACUGCCCUGCAUUACUGCUCCAUGUACGAGAAGCCUGAGUGCCUCAAGUUACUCCUGAGGGGCAAGCCGGCCACCGAUAUCACCAAUCAGAACGGAGAGACGGCGCUGGAUGUUGCCAGGCGACUGAGGAACACUCAGUGUGAGGAGGCACUUGUGCAGGCUGCAGAGGGCAAGUUCAACCCUCACAUCCAUGUGGAGUACGAGUGGAGCCUCCGACUGGAGGAGAUGGACGAGAGCGAUGACGACCUCGAUGACAAGCCUAGUCCCAUCAAGAAGGACCGCUCUCCGAGGCCUCAGAGCUUCUGCCACUCCUCCAGCCUGUCCCCCCACGACAAGCUCUCUCUGCCCGGCUUCAUUAGCCAAAAGGACAAGCAACAGCGUCUUUCCUACAGCGCCUUCACCAACCAGAUGUACAGCGCCUCCACUGACCUCACCUCCUCCCCCGUGGCCGACGGACCACCGCUGCCACCGAGGAACCAGGGCAAAGCUCCACACUUGGCAUUCCUUGGCUCUCAUUCGCACUACGCCACACUGGCUGGCACUCGACCAUACAUCAGUGAAUAUCCUGUUUUUACGUUCUCCCCCUUACUCGGCUGUGUGCCCCACAUACAAGUUACCCCUCAGUUGUUCUUCCCUUUACAGCUCACAUUCACAGGCUGGUGGUGUCUUUCUUUAAGUAAAUAAUAGGAGCAUGUAGGCAAGCUGCAUCUCCGGUUAAUUAAUUCUUGCCUACAUGAUUUUUUUAAAUUUCUGGAACCACGUCCCACCAUCCUUGAGCUGUAAACCCUUAACCACAGCUGAUUCCUCUCUGGCUGAGCUCUCUAUUAGCUGCUUUUGUCACGACUUGUAUCUGAAUUAGUGAUCAGUGGAGUCCUGAUCAACAGAAACAGGCAUAUUUAUGAACAAAUCCACCCAAUCUAGACACAAAAAUAUGCCCACUCCCCCAAUAGCAACAUCUCCUUAGAUUAUUUUGCAUCCCUGUCGAGACCUUUUCGUUCUAAUUCAUCCUUCAAAACCUUCUUCUUGAAAACUCUUCCCAUAUUUUCCGCACCUCUUUUCUUCUCCAUGCUUCACCAUCAUCCUCUCCUCUCCUUUGCCUUCUCUGGGUUUUAAGGGGUUAAUCGGAUGAUAUUUUGAAGGGGGUCCUCAUCACCUCAUGUGUUUUAUGUAUCGCUCCUCCAGCUCCUACCCCAUCUGGCCCUCCCUCUACACUCACUCCAGGAGGCAGCUCCACCCUGUCCAAGAAGAGGCCUCCGCCCCCACCUCCUGGACACAAACGCACCCUGUCUGACCCACCCAGCCCGCUUUCUCACAGUCCACACAGUAAAGGGGGCUUGACUGGGGGUGAGACGCAAGCCUGAAGCUCAAAUAUUCUAUUUGUCCAAAAUGCAGGGUUAUCUGAACAGAUUUGACGAGAUGCUCUUCACUCAAACUCCUCUUACUGGCUUUCUCCAGACGGCUGCUACUAAACCAAACCUCUGCUGGCAAAGACAGAAAUAUGUGGUUUGAAGGUCUAGAAGAAGCUUGCAAGAGGAGUUGAGACUUUUUUAUCCAACAUCCUCAAACUUCUGAUUGAAUUUUCUUGACAGGAUGUUAGGAAUUUUCUUUUAAAUACUAUUGGUUUUUAAUUAUAUGUUGAUUCAAAAAAACGAAGUCUAUGACUCUUUGUGCAGUUUAAAGAUUCAUAAAUUGUAAUCUCAGCCUGACUUUUCGAAUAAACAUGUGUUUGGCUGCCACGUACAAUCAUUUUAGAAUAGCCAAAUGUGAAAUUGGUUUUCAAAUCAUCCUAAUAGUUGUCAUGAAUUCCAAGAUUACAUUUUGGAAAGCCACAAACACUUGGAAAUAAUAUGUAAGCUGUUUGCAUUUUAAACAUUAUUGGCAAAUUAUUGGUAUUGGCAGAUAAAAAGCUUAAAAAGUUAAUUACCAGUAUCCUCGGGUCACAUUAAUUAUCCUCAGCAGUGUUAUAUGUCCCAACACAGAGGUAUUUUGAUGGACAGCAAAAAUACCUAUUUGCAUUACAUGUAAAGCACAGGUGAUGGGAAGAGGAGCAAAACAACACUCCUCCUACUCUAUCAGUUUAAUGCUGCAUCUCAAAAACUGUCACCCAAAGAUGAAGGAGCUUAACAAGGAAAUCAUUGAAGUCAUGCUUGUGAUAACCAGCCAAUCAGUAUGCUGGAGGAUGUAGGAUCUGCAGGCUGACAUGCACUUGGAUCAAUAUCAGUAUCGGUAUUGGUAUCAGCCAAAUUGAGUCUGAAAAUAUCUACAUUCAAUCAAAUAUCAUGCAUCACAAAUUUUUGCCCCAGAAAAAAGCAUAGUUACUGACAUCAUCAAUUUAAUUCUUAUAAUUUUAGACAACACAGCCAAUGGUGGUGGUGCUGAUGACUUUCAGAUAUGAAAGGAAAGUUAUUGCUGCAUGUAUCUACCAGGUUUGUUAAUGGGCAACUUGGUUAUCAGCCAAGUUAUUUGUGAUAAAUACUUAAAAUGGGACAGAUUAAAUAAACUCACACCACUUAAUCUCAUAUAUAACCAUUUAAGGUUUUAAGAUCUGUGUAUUAAAUCAAUAAAGUGAUGUUUUGAUAAGCUUGAAUGAUGAUGCAGGGCAAAUUGGAAAGCGAACCUGAACAACAUUUAAAAGCAGAGCUAAUAAUUACCGUCAUUUAAAUAUAUCAUGAACGCACCAUGAUAAAGGAUGCAUUUUACUACGGUGGAGAAAAUAUUUGGCCACAGGCAACUUCUUUUUAAAGUGCACAAAGAGACAUGACAGGUUAUCUUUUAGCCAUCAUGUAGAGACAAAAGAAGACAGGUCAAACACACCUCAGUCAUCUUACCUGCAAUCUUGUCGCCCCCACUCUCUGUGUAUGAUGGGGAUGUUUUAACUGUUACUCCACUUUUAUCAUUUGUCCUCUGGUGUUUUGUGCAUUCUGUGUCACCCAACCACUAAUUAAACGAUGACACUUUAUUGCACAACCUCAGUUUCCAAAUAACACAGGCUCAUGGAAAGCUCAGCCAGAUGACGCCUCCCUCAUUGGUUUUUUUUAACCAUCACAGCAUGUUCAGUUAUUUCCACAUUGAUAUUCAAUUAAUCCCCUGCUCGGCGCUCUGUUACGGUGUUGAUUAAUCUGUUUGUCGUCAUCGGUGUUAAUAUUUUAGGGAGCGAUUCUACCCCUCCUCCUGUCAGCAAGAUGUCUCCGGUUUCUAACAAGUUUGAAGGAAUUCCUCAGCAGCAAAGCACUACUUCAAGCAACACAAAGUCUACACUUGGUCCAAGGGUUCUUCCCAAACUACCUCAGAAAGUGGCAUUGCGGAAGAUUGACACCAUACACCACCCGUCUAUGGAUAAGCCAAGCCUUCCUCCAGAGAUCUUCCAAAAGUCUCCGCCUGCAACUGACACCCCGCAGAAAGCUCCUCUGGCAGAAAGGCCUCAGCUAAGCGACCUCCCCCCCAAACCUCAGCCAUCUGACCUCCCCCCAAAACCUGGAGAACUUCCUCCAAAGCCCCAGCUCUCUGACCUCCCUCCUAAACCUCAACUUGGAGAUCUCCCCCCUAAACCCCAGCUCAAAGACCUGCCCCCUAAACCUCACCUUGCAGAUAUACCCCCUAAACCUGGAACAGUGGAGUCCACUCCGAGGCCGCCGCCCGGGGAGACGGUGCAGAGGCCUCAAACGCAGCCUCCGCCUCCACCUCAAAUUCAGCCUCAACCGCAGCCUCAAGACUCACCGUCACCCAAUCAGCAGGCUAAUAUAGGGACCCCCACUCAACCUGCUCCUGAGGACACCAAUGGAACCCCGACAGGGACUGCGGAGACUCCUGUGCCGCUCCCGAGGAAGAUAAACACGGGGAAGAGCAAAGCUCGCCGGGUGAAGACGAUCUACGACUGCCAGGCGGAUAAUGACGACGAGCUGACUUUUGUGGAAGGAGAAGUGAUCAUAGUAACUGGGGAAGAGGACCAGGAGUGGUGGAUCGGGCACAUUGAAGGAGAGCCUGAAAGAAAGGGGGUGUUCCCCAUGUCUUUUGUGCACAUCCUGAGUGACUGACAGAUAGACUUGCACUACGCCUCUAAAACCUAACUGGGAGGUCCUGUAAAUAGCAACAAUAACACCCCUUGUCACAUGACAAGUGUCUGAAAGAAAAAAAAAACAACAAAGAAGAAGAAGAAACCCAAGAAGGCUCAUCUAGCCAUGGAUUCCUCAUCCAUGCUGUACAAAGAAUGUGUGUAUUCUUCCUUUACCAGUAUUAUCUUAACCCUAUAGCACGGCUGUGAACAAGCCACUCUCAAAACCCUAGCACUUACCUAAAGUCUAUGUUUAUGCUGUUACUGUGUAUAUAUGUAUGUAAAUAUAUAUAUUUGUGUGUGAGUGUAUAUACAUGUUUUAUUGUACAAAACAUGUACCAUUGCUCUCUCUCUCUCUCUCUCUCUACCUGUCAGACGAAGCAUCAGGGCGGUAGAGUUUGAAUUUUAUCUGUAUUAAUUUUACCGGCCCUUGAGUAAUUAUCAGCUUAUAUUUCUGGAAAAGGACAAAUAAGAAAAGGAAUGUGAAAUAGGUCACGUCACUAUUUGUGUCUUGCAUCCCUGUUUACCACCAGAGUUGACCGAAGAGGCAGGAGUCUCCCACUGACCUUCCCGCGGUGAAAAGAAUUCCAUUAAAUGUACUCCUUGUUCUUGCUUGCUUUGUGUGUACACGUAUUCUGGUUGUUUUACAGUAUAGAAACCUGCUGCUACUGUGUGGUGGAAUAUCAAAGCCUGUGGUUCACUGUAGGUCACUAAUUUACUCCUUGUUACACUGUUCACUGUGUGUAUGCUCUGUGUGUGAACUUGACGCCAUCUCCACAGUCCUUUGACCUCCUCUGUGCAUGGUGUAACAAUGACUGGAAUUGAGUGGAGUGCUGCAUUCAAAGACGCUCACCUCAGGGUUUGAAGAGCCACUAUUAUUAAACAAGCAGGACUACACAUAAAGAAUCCUGUUGUUAAAGCCACUAUUAAUGACACGUACAGGAAACUCAAGAGGACAUCCUAGCAAUAACUUGAUUUUCUGACAGGCUACAAGUUCCACUUUAACCUGUGUUCACAGUUCAGUGUCUUGUAAAACCUCAUGAGCUUGAAAUUUUUUGAGUUGAAGUCAUGUUGAUAUCAUUCCAUGUUACUGGAUCCAGAACAUUUCCAGGUUUGCCUGUGAACCAGAGAUGUCUUUUUAAAGUGGACUUUAUAUAAGGCUGGAGAGCCGAUGUAUUUUCACCCCAAUCCUCACUGACUUGCAGCUCUCUCCCAUGUUAAGGAACAAACCCAUCAACCCAUUGUAUCAUUAAAAGUGCUGUACUUAAA